rnacentral:rRNA from 1 species
GUGUCAGCAGCCGCGGUAACACCGGCAGCUCAAGUGGUGGCCAUUAUUAUUGGGCCUAAAGCGUUCGUAGCCGGUUUGAUAAGUCUCUGGUGAAAUCCCGCAGCUUAACUGUGGGACUUGCUGGAGAUACUAUUAGACUUGAGGUCGGGAGAGGUUAGGGGUACUCCCAGGGUAGGGGUGAAAUCCUAUAAUCCUGGGAGGACCACCUGUGGCGAAGGCGCCUAACUGGAACGAACCUGACGGUGAGUAACGAAAGCCAGGGGCGCGAACCGGAUUAGAUACCCGGGUAGUCCUGGCCGUAAACGAUGUGGACUUGGUGUUGGAAUGGCCUCGAGCUGCUCCAGUGCCGAAGGGAAGCUGUUAAGUCCACCGCCUGGGAAGUACGGUCGCAAGACUGAA